AUAUUUGUUUAAAAAAGUGAUUAAUGUUUAUUUUUAGGUAGUGUACUACAAGUCACUAGGCUCUUAGAACUUGAUGUUUCAAAUUUAGUGUUCCAUCCAGCUUGUGUGAUUUCUGCUAUUUUAACUUCUUUAUGUACAGAAACAGUGAGAUGGCCGCGAAAAGGAGAUGAAAGUAUACUGUUAAACAUAUGUGGCCGAUUGCUUUUACUACAGCAAGAUCCUGUUGCUAAGACAUCUGAUAUUACCAACAAUAAUACUCAGGUAUGUUUAUAACAUU